AAUCAACGCUGGCGGCGUGCCUAACACAUGCAAGUCGAACGAGAAAGUGGAGCAAUCCAUGAGUAAAGUGGCGACCGGGUGAGUAACACGUGACUAACCUACCUUCGAGUGGGGAAUAACCUCGGGAAACCGGGGCUAAUACCGCAUAAUGUCUUCGGACCAAAGGAGCAAUUCGCUUGAAGAGGGGGUCGCGGCCGAUUAGCUAGUUGGUGGGGUAACGGCCCACCAAGGCAAUGAUCGGUAGCCGGCCUGAGAGGGCGCACGGCCACA
rnacentral:rRNA from 1 species